CCCUUAGAUGUUCUGGGCCGCACGCGCGCUACACUGAUUCAUGCAACAAGUUUUGUCCUUGGCUGAUAGGCCUGGGUAAUCUUUGAACGUGAAUCGUGAUGGGGAUAGAUGAUUGCAAUUAUUCAUCUUCAACGAGGAAUUCCUAGUAAACGCAAGUCAUCAGCUUGCAUUGAUUACGUCCCUGCCCUUUGUACACACCGCCCGCCGCACCUACCGAUUGAAUGGUCCGGUGAAAUCUUCGGAUCUGAGAGAUGUCUGAUUAAUUUCGGACGCCUUUUGGAAAAGUUGCUUAAACCUUACCAUUUAGAGGAAGGUGAAGUCGUAACA
rnacentral:rRNA from 1 species